rnacentral:snRNA from 1 species
AAGCCCAUGUAUAACCCAUUUUA